AAACUAACCUCUAUUAAUUUCGCGAGUGAUCGUGUUGCAAGCGUGCUUUGAAUUACACUUUUACACGUUUUAUAUUGUUGAGUGCAGUGAAUAAAUAUUCAAUUCGGCGAUACGAUAAGAGUGUCUAUUAUCUUAAUAACUUUAUCGCGUUUGGAUGUAACGGUACCGGCGGAUAACGUGGACGGCAUUUUAAGUUACAGCACUCGUUGUGCCUGGCAGUCCCAUAAGCUGUACCCUGUACUUUCUUUGAUUAUCGGACACACUGUAUUUUCUUUGAUUACCCGACACACUGGUAAGUUUGUAAACUUUAUUAAAUCAUAAUUAAUUACAUUUUUGUCUUAAAUCACCUGUAACGUGAGUACCGUAAUAACUCAAAAUUGACGCGCGUGCCGUCGGGUGCGUCUUCGGUUUCGCUGCAGACUUUGCUUUUUCCAUGUCAAUCAUCGAUUUAAUAGCGUGAAUUUUUCUUAGCUCGCGUUUUCUUUUGAUGUCAUAAUGCUCCAAUCGCGGAGACAUGUUUUAAUAGACAAUUUAAAUUUCUUCCCGCAUGUGUACAUGACUUGCCGUCGGCCGACACAUUUUGCCUUGCUUGUGACGUGUCUGGAGAACCCGUCGCAAAGAAAAUUUUAGAAUCCCAAUGAAAUUCAUAUUGAUGUUUUAUUUAUCUAUCAUUCUAGUUUUCCUAUCAUUUCUUUUUUUUAAUUUUACCAUUUUUCAAAUUUAAAUUUUCUUUUAUUUUUCUUCUAGCUCUCUAUUCUUAAUUCAAAAUGUAGUUGUAGUUUUGUUGUGUCACCCUCUCGUGAAUCUAAUUCUCUGCAUCGAAUAUUUUGAAUUUUCUAAUUAAAUGUAGCUAUUUUCUUCUUGUAUCACCCUAUGUAUUUCUUUUCCUUGCUCUCUAAUGUUAAACUGACUAAAUUUAUCGUUUCCGGGUCGUUUUCUACUUAAUAUUAGUAUUUUAUUUUUUACAUUAAGAAAUUUCCUAUUUAUUACACCCUGUAUGUUUAUUUUUCUUAAUGUCCCAUUAUAAGUUUUCUAAAUUUGUUAUUCCCGAGUGUUUUCUUUCUUGAACUUUUGAUUUUCUUUUUGUAGUACCCUGUAUAUUCGUUUUCCAUAUUGUCCGUGAAAAUUUAGCUUUAGCUGUUGUUUUUAGAUUUUUCUUCUUUUCACUUUGAAUUUCCUAUUUGUAACACCCUGUAUGUUUGUUUUUCUUGAUGUCGCAUUAUAGGUUUUCUAAAUUUGUUAUUCCCGAGUGUUUUCUUUCUCGAACUUUUGAUUUUCCUUUUGUAGUACCCUGUAUAUUCGUUUUCCAUAU